rnacentral:rRNA from 1 species
AGUUGCACUUUGCUCCGUCCCUCCGUUCGCACUACUAGUGGAGUGGAGUGCAUUGGGGAAAGGCGACAGGGGCAAAGGGAAAGUGCGGAAGCCGACGGAGCGGAUCCUCCACGGCGGGCGAGGCGGCGGCACCGCCCGCCGGAGAAUACCUCCACAGCAGCCCAUCCGGCACCGCAUCGCCGUCUCCUUCCCCAUCCGCAAGGCAAGAUUCUGAAACUCAUCUCCCCAGCAAUCAGCCAAACCUGGAGCUUCACUGGGACAAAAUAAUGACCAUUGCUCAUUUUUUUGCACCCUUUCCAUGAAUAAAUCAGGAAUCCAGAGAGCGUAGAAAAGAUCCCUGGCACGAUUCUCCUCCUGUAAAUUACACAUAAUGAGGGUGAGAUGGGGUAAGUAUAAGGUCAUAGCGUGACGGUCGUGAUCAAAUGCUGAAAAAUUAAAUCCAAACUGGUAAUAAGUUUCUA